GUUGCUAUGGUGAAAUAGGUAGACACACAGGCUUGAGGGGCCUGCGGAAUUUAGACUCCAUCUCGGUUCAAAUCCGAGUAGCAACA
rnacentral:tRNA from 1 species